rnacentral:rRNA from 1 species
GACAGAGGGUGCAAACGUUGUUCGGAUUCAUUGGGCGUAAAGGGUGCGUAGGCGGCGCGGUAAGUCGGGUGUGAAAUCUUGGAGCUUAACUCCGAAACUGCAUUCGAUACUGCCGUGCUUGAGGACUGGAGAGGAGACUGGAAUUUACGGUGUAGCGGUGAAAUGCGUAGAUAUCGAGAGGAACACCUGCGGCGAAGGCGGGUUGCUGGGCUGACACUGACGCUGAUGCGCGAAAGCCAGGGGAGCGAACGGG